rnacentral:rRNA from 1 species
GACAGAGGCCCCGAGCGUUAGGCGGAAUCACUGGGCUUAAAGCGCGUGUAGGCGGAGGGCUAAGUACCUUGUGAAAUCCCACGGCUUAACCGUGGAACUGCUGGGUAUACUGGUUGUCUUGAGCCAGCUAGGGGCGAGCGGAACAGACGGUGGAGCGGUGAAAUGCGUAGAUAUCGUCUGGAACGCCGAAGGUGAAAACAGCUCGCUGGGGCUGCGCUGACGCUGAGACACGAAAGCCAGGGGAGCGAACGGG